rnacentral:lncRNA from 1 species
AGCAGCUUAAUGUGCCACAAGAGCUUUCGGUGGAGGACAAGCUCGCUAAAUUGUUGGAAUUAACUGACUUAUACAUUGAAAUAACAAAUGAAGGAUUUCAAAUUCAAGCAGUAAACCGUGGGAAAAGCUAUGAUGAUCAAGAGGUUGGUGCAGGAACUGAGGAGCCAUCUGUCUGUUAUUCACGUCCAAAGGAGGAAACAGCCCAUGAUGACCUUGAAAAUUCCAUAGAAUCUGCUCCUUCAAAAGUCUGUGUGCCACUCAUGCACUAUCCCGAGACUCCAAGGCGACCCGCUAAGCAGCAAGAAUGCAUGAAUACUCUGACAAAUCUAAAUAUAGGACAGCUGCUUACUGAUUAGAAAAUUUUAGCGGCGGUAACGGACAGUGCACCUGCACAGCCCAUCAAAUUCAAAGAAAUGCCAGAUGAGUCCUGCAAACAGGCAAAGAUCCACAAGGAAACAAAGAAAAAGCUUAAUGGCAACCUAAUUCUUCGUCAAGAAAUUCGGCCAAUGCAGAAAUUGUGGGUGUCAAAUACAAGGUUUAAGUCAGUUCGACGAAGACGUAAACAUUGCUGGAAGGGAUCCUAUUUUAUUACAACAUUUCAUUCAUAUAGAAGGGCUAAUAUGAAGGAUUCAACCACUUCCCUGAAACACAUAAUUGACAAACAUCAUCUCAUUCCGUACCUACUGUUGUUGUAUGAUGCUAUCAAGGAGUGGUUGAUUAUAAGAGAACAAGUGACGUGAUUAUCAAUUCAUUCCUCUACGUCUAGCUAUAGACAUUAACUACAGCGCUUAUUGGGAGGCAACCCAAUUUUUCUAAACUCUUUUCUUUUUAUUUUCGUUCAUUUUAUUUUCUUCCUUCUAGUCUUUAUCACAAAAAAAAAACAAAAACAAAACAAAAAAAUCAGAAAAUUGAAAAACACAAAAACAGCAAUUGUUUUUCGUUAAUCAGUAUUUUAUUUUGGGAUUUACUCGAAUUAGAUUUUUAAUCUGUGUUUUUUUUUUUUUUUUUUUUUUUUUGCAGGUUGCAUUUGGACUCGAAGGGCCCUAAAUAUCCAUUAAGCGCGCAAAAUUCAACUGAAUCAUGCUUUUAGCAGCAUUUGGGGUCAUCACUGGUGGCGAAUAAAAUUGUUACCUCUGCAUGACUCGGGUCCGCGAUGUCCUCAAUGUUUGUUUUGUCCUUGCUAUUGUUCAGCUCCAGCUCGAUAACCUUUGCACCCUAACGAGAUGUACAGAUUUUACACAUGCGGUGAAGUUAUAUGAGACAUGCAGUAAGAGAUCAGUUAUGGAGGGUUGUGAGUUUACCUUUUUGUGUUUCGGAUCUGAGCUAAUCGAGUGUUGUUUUUCCUUUUGCCCAUUAUGACUUCUGCGGAUCCGACAUCC